rnacentral:rRNA from 1 species
AGAGUUUGAUCCUGGCUCAGAAUCAACGCUGGCGGCGUGCCUAACACAUGCAAGUCGAACGAGAAAGGGGAGCAAUCCCUGAGUAAAGUGGCGACCGGGUGUGUAACACGUGACUAACCUACCCUCGAGUGUGGAAUAACAUCGGGAAACCGAUGCUAAUACCGCAUAACAUCGCAAGAUCAAAGCCGUAAGGCGCUUGAGGAGGGGGUCGCGGCUGAUUAGCUAGUUGGCGGGGUAACGGCCCACCAAGGCGAAGAUCGGUAGCCGGCCUGAGAGGGCGCACGGCCACACUGGAACUGAAACACGGUCCAGACUCCUACGGGAGGCAGCAGUGGGGAAUUUUGCGCAAUGGGGGAAACCCUGACGCAGCAACGCCGCGUGGAGGAUGAAGCCCCUUGGGGCGUAAACUCCUUUCGACCAAGACGAUAAUGACGGUACUGGUGGAAGAAGCACCGGCUAACUCUG